GUCUCUUUCGUCUAGUCAGGUUCAGGACACCGGGUUUUCAUCCCGGAAACAUGGGUUCGAAUCCCGUAGGAGAUGCCA
rnacentral:tRNA from 2 species